GUGGGGAAUCUUCCGCAAUGGGCGAAAGCCUGACGGAGCAACGCCGCGUGAAUGAAGAAGGCCUUCGGGUCGUAAAGUUCUGUUGAAAGGGAAGAAGUCUUUUCAUGUGAAUAAUGUGGAAAGGUGACGGUACCUUUUGAGGAAGCUCCGGCUAACUACGUGCCAGCAGCCGCGGUAAUACGUAGGGAGCGAGCGUUGUCCGGAAUUACUGGGCGUAAAGGGCGCGUAGGCGGGAUAUUAAGUCAGGUGUGAAAACUCCGGGCUUAACUUGGAGAUUGCACAUGAAACUAAUAUUCUUGAGGACAGGAGAGGAAAGCGGAAUUCCUAGUGUAGCGGUGAAAUGCGUAGAUAUUAGGAGGAACACCAGUGGCGAAGGCGGCUUUCUGGACUGUAACUGACGCUGAGGCGCGAAAGCGUGGGGAGCGAACGGGAUUAGAAACCCUGGUAGUCC
rnacentral:rRNA from 1 species